GGUUGAGGUCAGAAACACUUCAAACUCAAAUGUUAACAGGUCAGCAUGACCCUUGGAAAAUCAUCAGAAAUGAUGUUGAUUUAACGGUAAGGAGAAAAUUCAAUUUCUUCAUGAGAAAAUCGCAUACAGCAGCAGAGGGAACCAUGAACCAGGGAAUACAGAUGACCUCUAGAAGCUGGAAAAGUCAAGGAAACAGAUUCUCCUCUGAGGCCUCCAGAAGGAACGCUGUCCUGCGACACCUUGAUUUUAGGACUUCUGACUUUCAGAACUGCUGACCUUUUGCAAAGCCACAAUAAUCCACACUCCCGGGGGAACACAGGACGGUCUACCACACGCUCAGAGGAGCCAAUUCUUGGAUUACAGAAAGUGAGAUUGAGAAACCCUCUUUCCUCAGUUGGUCCAGGAUCAACCAACUUUCCACUCUACGAGCGCUACCUGGGGGCAUCUCUGUCUUCUGUGAUAAAUUAAAAUCAGUUACCAACCCUGGGCCCAAAGCGGUUAAUUCAUCAAUGUGUAAAGAAGAAACAAAGAUGAUGGGGGCGGGGGCUUGAAGGGUAUGGAACAAACAGCUUCUUUCAUAAAGGCUUUUGCAGGAGAAAAGCAAAGCCCCUUUCAUUCUGAAGUGUAAGGAGAGAGGAUGUAGUAGCAAUAGAUAGGAAACACAGGCAUGAACAUGGAUAUAGUUUUCCACACGGCCCCACUGACUUGAAGACAACAAUGAAAAGGCUAUUAUGGCUCCUAUUACAAAGAAUGGUAAGGAGACAGCUGUUCCUGGAAGCCUAGCCAAGGGCAGGCAUGAGAGUGUGGCUAAGGCACCGUGGGAGGCUGUGUAGCUCCUGUAUACCCAGUCCUGGUCACCACACAUCCUACAGCACCAUGGCUCAGCUGACCUGCCUCCUGCUCUGAACAAGGGGUCUCUGCAAGCAAGAUACCCUGAUGAUGAAGAAAGAAGCCCAGGGAGCCUGGAAUUGUGCACAUAAACAUAACAUUUCCAAGGCAAAUGGUUUUAAGAGACCCAUUUAAAAGACACUAUUCUAAAUAAAUUUAAAACAAGAACAACAACAUUAAAUGGUUCCCG